GCGGUUUAAUUGGAGUCAACGCCGGAAAUCUCACCGGGAGCGACAGCAGUAUGAAGGCCAGAUUAAAGGUCUUGCCAGACGAGCUGAGAGGAGGUGCAUGGCCGUCGCCAGUUCGUGCCGUGAGGUGUCCUGUUAAGUCAGGCAACGAUCGAGACCCGCGUCCWCUGUUGCAACUAGCUUUGWNGCUGGGCACACUGWGGANACCGCCACUGAUAAAGUGGAGGAAGGAGCGGGCCACGGCAGGUCAGUAUGCCCCGAAUCUCCCGGGCCACACGCGAGCUGCAAUGGCAGGUACAAUGGGUUCCGACCUCGAAAGGGGAAGGCAAUCUCGAAAGCCUGCCGUANUUGGGAUCNAGGGCUGUAACCCGUCCUCGUGAACNUGGAAUCCCUANUAAUCGCGUGUCNUUANCGCGCGGUGA
rnacentral:rRNA from 1 species